UACGUAGGGUGCGAGCGUUGUCCGGAAUUAUUGGGCGUAAAGAGCUUGUAGGCGGUUUGUCGCGUCUGCCGUGAAAAUUCGAGGCUCAACCUCGAACUUGCGGUGGGUACGGGCAGACUAGAGUGUGGUAGGGGAGACUGGAAUUCCUGGUGUAGCGGUGAAAUGCGCAGAUAUCAGGAGGAACACCGGUGGCGAAGGCGGCACUCUGGGCCGUGACUGACGCUGAGGAGCGAAAGCGUGGGGAGCAAACAGG
rnacentral:rRNA from 1 species